CCAUGAUGAUCCCUUUAGAUGACGAGUCUUAUCGGGGAUUCCCCAUGCAGACAACCUUUUUUUUAAUACCAUUCAUGCAUUUCUGAAA
rnacentral:snoRNA from 1 species